rnacentral:lncRNA from 1 species
CACUUUUACUAUGAAGUUUUGAAAAAAAUCUUAUCCUAGAAUUGAAAGUUCAUAUGCAAUACAAUUUUUUUCAAAGGUCAAAAUAUAGGGCUGUGCGGCAUAUUUUCAACGUUUAUAUGCCCUGAACUUUUCAGAGUUUCAACUAACACUAAUUUUCUUAACUACCCCUACCUCGAAUGAAGGGUUACCACAGAUUUCAAUGUAAACAAUAUGCACAUGUAUAUUUACUGGUAACAUUCCCAAGUUAUGUCUCUAUGAGAUGGAACACAGAGAGCAUAACUGGGAACCAGUAUGUAAACAAAAUUAAUUUUCUAUGAAUAUUUUAAAUUUCCCC